AGAGUUUGAUCCUGGCUCAGAUUGAACGCUGGCGGCAUGCCUUACACAUGCAAGUCGAACGGUAACAGCACUUCGGUGGCUGACGAGUGGCGAACGGAUGAGUAAUACAUCGGAACGUGCCCGAGAGUGGGGGAUAACGCAGCGAAAGCUGUGCUAAUACCGCAUACGAUCUACGGAUGAAAGCAGGGGACCGCAAGGCCUUGCGCUCACGGAGCGGCCGAUGGCAGAUUAGGUAGUUGGUGGGAUAAAAGCUUACCAAGCCGACGAUCUGUAGCUGGUCUGAGAGGACGACCAGCCACACUGGGACUGAGACACGGCCCAGACUCCUACGGGAGGCAGCAGUGGGGAAUUUUGGACAAUGGGCGAAAGCCUGAUCCAGCCAUGCCGCGUGCAGGAUGAAGGCCUUCGGG
rnacentral:rRNA from 1 species